GGGGCCACCCUCCCUCCAGGAGUGCAGGUCAAAAGCCUGGGAGUGAUUCCUGGCACCUCUUUUUCAGCACCCCCCAUCCCCAGGCCACGGCCAAGGCUUGUGAUUUACCUCUGGAAAAGCGGUGGCAUCCAUCGUGCCUUCGCCUCCCUGACACCUGCACCCUCAUUCCAGCCACCACCUCUGUCUGGACCGAGGUGCCCCAUUGGCCUCUUGAAUCUGUCACCGUCCCCUCCAGCCAUUUCUCUACUCAGUGGCCACGCCCCCAUAGCAAAGCACCAGUUGAUUUGGUCUCUUUCCCCCCCCCACCCUGCUCCUGGGGCAGAGACCGAAACCCUUAAGCCCGCCUAGGGCCGCUAGUCAGUCAUCACGUCCGCAUCCAGCCUUUGGGACUCUCCCAGGCUUCCAGUCCAUUCCUCAGAGUGUCAACGGAGGGUUGCCCCGCAGGGAAGUGACACCACCUGUGCCCAGCGUCCUUCAUUCGUCUGCCUCCGCUGAGAGCAAAUGUAUCCAUUUGCAGGGAUACAUUUUGUUGUGUGAGGUUAUUUUGUUGCUGUCUGUCAUCCCAUUUACAGUGUGUGCUCCUGGAGGGAUAGGCCGUGUCUCUUUGUGCUUCCUAUUGUACCCUCAGUGCUGAUUAAACCGAUAGGAGAACGGA